CCCCACCCUUCCCUUAGGGUUUUCUCCCUAGAAUAAUAUCCUGUACUGUUUUGUAAUCUCGUUCGAAUAUCCACACCACAUACAGACCCACCAUAGCCGAUCCCCAGAGAAGAAGAGACACACCAUAAGUGUUUCAAUGGGUGCUUACACUUAUGUGUAAUCUCGUUCGAAUAUAACUUCAAAUGAAAAUGAUUGCCAGAGAAGAUGAACGGAAAAUAUAUAUUUCGUGCGAAAAUGUGUCAUCUCAAAAUUCUAACUUCAAGCUGAUUUGCACAAAUAACCAAUUUUGCGACGAUGAUGAUGACUGCAACGAUGACGACGACCACAAAUUCUUUCCCUUUUGCCCUUAUUUUAAUUUCCUGUUUUACCUCAUGUAUAACAAAAGAAAAUCUAUAUUUUCUUAUUUUGUUAGAAAAUGAAGAGAUUUGUAUUAAUAUUGUAUGAAAGUUGUAUACAAUGUUAUUGUAGUUGUAUUAAAUUUCAGCCGAAUUUUGAAGCGAGAUUAGAAAUUGCAUUAAAUUUCUAUGAAUAUUGUAUGAAAGUUGUACACAAUGUUGUU